ACCAUGCCUCAUGCGUUGAUUUUCAUUUAUUAUUCAUCAUUAAUAGUUUCUCAAUAAAAUUUGUCAGUAAUAAAUUAAGAUCAACGUGUAAGACAUGAC
rnacentral:precursor_RNA from 1 species